rnacentral:rRNA from 1 species
CCUACGGGAGGCAGCAGUGAGGAAUAUUGGUCAAUGGGCGCUAGCCUGAACCAGCCAAGUAGCGUGAAGGAUGACUGCGCUAUGAGUUGUAAACUGCUUUUAUAUGGGAAUAAAGGGCAGUAUGUAUACGGCUCUGCAUGUACCGUAAGAAUAAGGAUCGGCUAACUCCGUGCCAGCAGCCGCGGUAAUACGGAGGAUCCGAGCGUUUUCGGAUUUAUGGGGUUUAAAGGGGGUGGCGGCGGGGGCGUAAGUCAGAUGUGAAAAACCUGGGCUCAAACCUGGACAUGCAUUUGAAACGGUUUGUCUUGAGAGCUGUCGAGGCAGUCGGAAUGCCGGGUGUAGCGGUGAAAUGCUUAGAUAU